CUACAUCGUCCCAACGAGUGGGCUGUAGCCUCACCACUCCCUCCAUGCCCUUGUGGGUGGAGGGCACAGUGUGGCACAUUGCAAGCUGGAAGUCACUCAUCUUCACGGUGUGCAAACCUAACAGUUUAUAUAAAACAGACUUGUUUUUCGCAAGGCUCCGCUUAAGGGCAGCAAAUGCUGCCUGUUGGCAGAGUGAGGCCAAAUCAGCCCCAACAUAUCCAACAGUGAUCUCAGCGAGGUGUGUCAGGUCGACAUCAACUGAGAGAUUGAUGGGCUUACAAUGAGCACGCAGGAUAUCAAGCCUCUGGCCUGCAGAAGGGACACCAAUAACUACCUACAGCCAACAAAAUACACAAUAUAUUGAAUCCUUAGGAUUUUGUAUGGAAAAUAUUGGAAUAAAGCAAAGUUGAUGUUUUAAA